rnacentral:rRNA from 1 species
CCUACGGGCGGCAGCAGUGAGGAAUAUUGGUCAAUGGACGAGAGUCUGAACCAGCCAUGUAGCGUGAAGGAUGACUGCCCUAUGGGUUGUAAACUUCUUUUAUAUGGGAAUAAAAUGUUCCACGUGUGGGAUUUUGUAUGUACCAUAUGAAUAAGGAUAGGCUAACUCAGUGCCAGCAGCCGCGGUAAUACGGAGGAUGGGAGCGUUAUCCGGAUUUAGUGGGGUUAACGGGAGCGUAGGUGGAUUGUUAAGUCAGUUGUGAAAGUUUGCGGCUCAACCGUAAAAUUGCAGUUGAAACUGGCAGUCUUGAGUACAGUAGAGGUGGGUGGAAUUCGUGGUGUAGCGGUGAAAUGCUUAGAUAUCAGGAAGAACUCCGAUGGCGAAGGCAGUUCACUGGACUGCAACUGACACUGAGGCGCGAAAGUGUGGGGAUCAAACAGGAUUAGAUACCCCUGUAGUC